GGUUUCUCACACAGCGGUAGACGACUCCAUGGAGGCCGCCAUCUUAACUGCCCUCCUUCCCUUUGGCUCUUCCCUUUCUUCUCGCUCACCCCGUCUCCGCAAGAGCCGCCCGAAACUGUCGAGCGCCUAGGCUCAAGAAGCUGGAGGCCGCUGAGUCCCGUCGCCCCGACUACUUGUCCGGGCGCUCCCGCUUACAAGCUCGGGCG
rnacentral:lncRNA from 1 species